CCUACGGGUGACAGCAGUAGGGAAUAUUGCUCAAUGGGGGAAACCCUGAAGCAGCAACGCCGCGUGGAGGAUGAAGGUUUUCGGAUUGUAAACUCCUUUUGUUAGAGAAGAUAAUGACGGUAUCUAACGAAUAAGCACCGGCUAACUCCGUGCCAGCAGCCGCUGUAAUACGGCGGGUGCAAGCGUUACUCGGAAUCACUGGGCGUAAAGAGGGCGUAGGCGGGAUAGCAAGUCAGAUGUGAAAUCCUAUGGCUUAACCAUAGAACUGCAUUUGAAACUGUUAUUCUAGAGUAUGGGAGAGGUAGGUGGAAUGCUUGGUGUAGGGGUAAAAUCCGUAGAGAUCAAGAGGAAUACUCAUUGCGAAGGCGACCUGCUAGAACAUAACUGACGCUGAUGCGCGAAAGCGUGGGGAGCAAACAGGAUUAGAUACCCGAGUAGUC
rnacentral:rRNA from 1 species